UGAGCUUUCCAGGCAGAAUGAAGAGCAAGUGCAGCUCUAAAAAUGCAAGCCUGCCUGAUGUGCUGAAGGACCAGCAAGAAGUGCAGCAUGCUUGAUGUGGAGUGAGGGGGAGAAAGCAGGAGAUGAGAAGUGACACACUUAUCUACUGAGAAGUCCAAGGAAAUGAACUGGAAAAUUCCUGGAACUCUGUUGUUAGAAAGCGAGCGAGAUUUCAGGAUGGAAGAGUCCAGCAAGUCAGUGAACGAGACAAGCACCAAGCACGGACUGGAAUUAAGAACUGGAGACACUUGUCAGUGCCUGGGGCAGGGUGGGGGCAUCUAAAAUCUGGAAGUGUGUGCAGCAGGGAUGUGCUUCAAGAGAAGACAGCUCAGGAAAGGGAAGACAGGGGAGCACAGCAGCCAGUUGACCAAAGGUGAUGGAAAGGUCCCACGGAGCAUUUCGCUGAUGGGCUGCAGAAGAGGAAAUCUGAAAGACGCUCUCCAGACUGGAAGAAAGUGAAUGUUCAUACUAUAAACUGCCUAUGGAAGCCACAUGGCAGGGGAGGCCUCUGAGAGCUGAGAGUCAAUCUCUCAGCACCACAGCUGCAGGGAAAGUAAUUCCCUCAACAAUCAGUGGAGCCAGCUAGAAGAUCUGCAAGCCCCAGACAGUAAACCACAGCCUCAGGGGCACCCUGAUUGCAGCUCAGUGAGACCUGGUACAGAGGGAGAAUUCGGUCAUGCCACACCUGGCAUUCUGACCUACUGAAAUCAAGAUGGUAAAUUUUCUUUGUUUUAAGCCACUAAAUCUGUAGGAACUUGUUAUGCAGCAAUAGAACAUUCAAGCAGUGAGCCCAGUCCCAGCUAACCGCAGAUAAUCCUGGUCGAUGCAUGUGGUCCCUCCAUAAUCAGCAGUACUCCUUUCCACUCUCAACAGGGUCCAGUUCACAUGUGGAUUCUGAAGAAUGGGAUAAGUACCAUGGUUCAGAGGUGGAGUCUGCCAUCUGCUGGGAGGAAAGGUGAAAUUUUUCUAUCAUCAACCAGUCAAUUGUAUAACUACCUCCACUAAGGCACUAUGCUAACAGACUACCUGUAUUACAAGUGUGUUUUUAUAAAUAAACAGGCACACAUACACACUUCCUAAAGGGAACAGCUAACCGGAAUCAGACUUAUCUUGGUAGAGAGGUCUGAUGGAGACAGGGUCAGGGAAUGAGUAGCAGGCUGUGUCUCAGGCCCUCCUUAAGAAUUUCAGUUUGGGGGGGGCUGAGCGCUCGCCUAGCACCUGUGAGGCCCUGGGUUCAAACCUCAGCACCACGUAAAAAUAAAAUAAAGGUAUUGUGUCCAACUACAACUAAAAAAUAAAUAUUAAAAACAAAAACCUGUAAGAUUUAAAAACAAGAAGAAUUAUGUCAGUUUGGGAAGAGGAAAAAGUUCCGCAGAUGGACAAUGGCAAUGACUGUGCGAGGGCUUAAUGUGACUCAACUGUACACCCACAAAAGGUUAAAGGGUAAAUGUUGUGUUAUGUAUAUUUCACCACAAUGAAAACAAAGGAAGAACCAGUGAGAAUGAGCGAGAAGAGAGGAAGGUGAGGGAAGAAAGAAAGACUGGUUGAAAAGGAAUCAGCAAAGUAUUUCCAGACCAAGGAAAAUGAAGAGUAGAGUUAAAGAUCAAUUAACAGCAAUUUAAAACAAAAACAAAACUGUAUCCAAAAUAUUUUACUUGAAAAAUCUUUCCCCAAAUCAAAAUCACUUAAAGAAAUAAAAAUCCUAGAGGAUUAGUUGUUUUAAUAAAGGUCUUUUUUAAAAGUAUGAUUAGUAUAAAAAAUGAAAACCUCUGUGGCUAAAUUAACCAUUGACAUGGGAACCCCGGGCUCAGAUGACAGGGUCUCUCUUCCUGUGUGUCGCAGGCUGUGUUUCCCAAACACACUGUGGUAAGAAGUAACUCCAGCAGUUUCUGGCACCACAAAGGCGCCCCUACAAUAUGACUGCCUCAUGGGAUGGGGUCCAGGCCUCCUCCCCUGCUUUGGGCUGGCCCUUGACACCCCUGGAAACCAGAGGGCACAGCGGGAAUGGCACUAAACACCUUCUGGGGAGGCAAGAAAGGCUUGGCAGCUCUGCCCAGGGCUCUGGCAUCACUUGCUCUCUAGAGGCCUCUGCUAUGACACUCUCCCCUAAAACACAGCCACCAGGCUGUGAGA